rnacentral:rRNA from 1 species
UACGGAGGGUGCAAGCGUUAUCCGGAUUCACUGGGUUUAAAGGGUGCGUAGGUGGGUUGGUAAGUCAGUGGUGAAAUCUCCGAGCUUAACUUGGAAACUGCCAUUGAUACUAUCAGUCUUGAAUAUUGUGGAGGUUAGCGGAAUAUGUCAUGUAGCGGUGAAAUGCUUAGAUAUGACAUAGAACACCAAUUGCGAAGGCAGCUGGCUACGCAUAUAUUGACACUGAGGCACGAAAGCGUGGGGAUCAAACAGGA